rnacentral:pre_miRNA from 1 species
ACGUAAGGCAAUCUGUCUUUAAGUAGGGGGUAAGUUACUCUUAAUGAAGCAAAAAAGGAAUCCUAGAUUGUUCUCCCUUCAAGUCAAGCCUCUUGU